GACGAACGCUGGCGGCGUGCUUAACACAUGCAAGUCGAACGGUGAAGCGCCUUCCUUUUUGGUGGGUGUGGAUGAGUGGCGAACGGGUGAGUAACACGUGAGUAACCUGCCCCCUUCUUCUGGAUAACCGCAUGAAAGUGUGGCUAAUACGGGAUAUUCUGGGUCUGUCGCAUGAUGGGUCUGGUAAAGAUAUUGUUUCUGUGGGGGAGGGUCUCGCGGCCUAUCAGCUUGUUGGGGGGGUGAUGGCCUAGCAAGGCGGUGACGGGUAGACGGCCUGAGAGGGUGGACGGCCAGACUGGGACUGAGACACGGCCGAGACUCCUACGGGAGCCAGCAGUGGGGAAUAGUGAACAAUGGGCGAAAGCCUGAAGCAGCGAGGACGCGUGAGGGAUGGAGGCCUUCGGGUUGUGACCCUCUUUCGCCAGUGAAGCAGGCCUGCCUGGUUUGUGGGUGGGUUGACGGUAGCUGGAUAAGAAGCGCCGGCUAACUACGUG
rnacentral:rRNA from 1 species